CGCGGGAUGGAGCAGUUCGGUAGCUCGUCGGGCUCAUAACCCGAAGGUCGCAGGUUCAAAUCCUGCUCCCGCA
rnacentral:tRNA from 3 species